AUUGAACGCUGGCGGCAUGCCUUACACAUGCAAGUCGAACGGUAGCAGGUCUUCGGAUGCUGACGAGUGGCGAACGGGUGAGUAAUACAUCGGAACGUGCCUAGUAGUGGGGGAUAACUACUCGAAAGAGUGGCUAAUACCGCAUGAGAUCUACGGAGGAAAGCAGGGGAUCGCAAGACCUUGUGCUACUAGAGCGGCCGAUGGCAGAUUAGGUAGUUGGUGGGAUAAAAGCUUACCAAGCCGACGAUCUGUAGCUGGUCUGAGAGGACGAUCAGCCACACUGGGACUGAGACACGGCCCAGACUCCUACGGGAGGCAGCAGUGGGGAAUUUUGGACAAUGGGCGCAAGCCUGAUCCAGCAAUGCCGCGUGCAGGAUGAGGGCCUUCGGGUUGUAAACUGCUUUUGUACGGAACGAAAAGCCCUGGGUUAAUACCCUGGGGUCAUGACGGUACCGUAAGAAUAAGCACCGGCUAACUACGUGCCAGCCGCCGCCGUAAUAC
rnacentral:rRNA from 1 species